rnacentral:rRNA from 1 species
GGGGAAUCUUCCGCAAUGGGCGAAAGCCUGACGGAGCAAUACCGCGUGAGGGAAGAAGGCUUUUGGGUUGUAAACCUCUUUUCUCAGGGAAGAAAAAAAUGACGGUACCUGAGGAAUAAGCAUCGGCUAACUCCGUGCCAGCAGCCGCGGUAAUACGGAGGAUGCAAGCGUUAUUCGGAAUUAUUGGGCGUAAAGCGUCCGCAGGUGGUACUUCAAGUCUGCUGUCAAAGACCGAAGCUUAGCUUCGGGCAGGCAGUGGAAACUGAAGAACUAGAGUACGGUAGGGGUAGAGGGAAUUUCCAGUGUAGCGGUGAAAUGCGUAGAGAUUGGAAAGAACACCAGUGGCGAAGGCGCUCUACUGGACCUGUACUGACACUAAGGGACGAAAGCUAGGGUAGCGAAAGGGAUUAGAUACCCCUGUAGUCA